GAUCCUGGCUCAGAAUCAACGCUGGCGGCGUGCCUCAGACAUGCAAGUCGAACGAUUAAAGCUCCCUUCGGGGAGUGCAUAAAGUGGCGCACGGGUGAGUAACACGUAAGUAAUCUACCCUCGGGUGGGGAAUAACGUUCGGAAACGGACGCUAAUACCGCAUAAUGCAGCGGCACCGCAAGGUGACAGUUGUUAAAGAUUUAUUGCCUGGGGAGGAGCUUGCGGCAGAUUAGCUUGUUGGUAAGGUAACGGCUUACCAAGGCUACGAUCUGUAUCCGGUCUAAGAGGACGGUCGGACACACUGACACUGAAUAACGGGUCAGACUCCUACGGGAGGCAGCAG
rnacentral:rRNA from 1 species